UACGUAGGGCGCAAGCGUUGUCCGGAAUUAUUGGGCGUAAAGAGCUCGUAGGCGGCUUGUCACGUCGGGUGUGAAAGCCCGGGGCUUAACCCCGGGUCUGCAUUCGAUACGGGCUAGCUAGAGUGUGGUAGGGGAGAUCGGAAUUCCUGGUGUAGCGGUGAAAUGCGCAGAUAUCAGGAGGAACACCGGUGGCGAAGGCGGAUCUCUGGGCCAUUACUGACGCUGAGGCACGAAAGCGUGGGGAGCAAACAGG
rnacentral:rRNA from 1 species